UUACCGAAAAUGUUGCCAAAUUAUUUCGUGCUAUUAGCGGACACUAGGAGACGAAAUUUUCGAGAAAUGUUGGAAUUACUUUACUGUACCGUUACUAAUUGUUUCAAUAUGAAAUGUAUGGGCGUGAACAAUUUAAUCGUCGGUAUUUUCUAGUUUAUUUCAGUAUUAAAAACGCAUUUCCUUGGACUUGUCUGUUUGAAAUAUUCUUGUUGUUUUUUUUUCGUCUAUAAAUAUGGCCUUGGCCCUAACCGUCGAUAAAGGAGCGUCUAAAAAUACCCAAUAUAUUUUAAUAAGAUUGAUGACGUCGCCAACGAAGUUAUGUGGUUCGGGAAAUAUUAUCGAUAAAUCCUGUUUAAUUAUUAUUGGUUAUCUGUUUGGUUAUUUCUAAGGAAAUGGUUAUAAACUUUAUUAAUAUUUAA